rnacentral:rRNA from 1 species
CAGUGUGACUCGUCACACUAUCAUUAACUGAAUCCAUAGGUUAAUGAGGCGAACCGGGGGAACUGAAACAUCUAAGUACCCCGAGGAAAAGAAAUCAACCGAGAUUCCCCCAGUAGCGGCGAGCGAACGGGGAGGAGCCCAGAGCCUGAAUCAGCAUGUGUGUUAGUGGAAGCGUCUGGAAAGGCGCGCGAUACAGGGUGACAGCCCCGUACACAAAAGCGCAUGUGCUGUGAGCUCGAUGAGUAGGGCGGGACACGUGGUAUCCUGUCUGAAUAUGGGGGGACCAUCCUCCAAGGCUAAAUACUCCUGACUGACCGAUAGUGAACCAGUACCGUGAGGGAAAGGCGAAAAGAACCCCGGCGAGGGGAGUGAAAAAGAACCUGAAACCGUGUACGUACAAGCAGUGGGAGCACAGGUUUACCUGUGUGACUGCGUACCUUUUGUAUAAUGGGUCAGCGACUUAUAUUCUGUAGCAAGGUUAACCGUAUAGGGGAGCCGUAGGGAAACCGAGUCUUAACCGGGCGUUAAGUUGCAGGGUAUAGACCCGAAACCCGGUGAUCUAGCCAUGGGCAGGUUGAAGGUUGGGUAACACUAACUGGAGGACCGAACCGACUAAUGUUGAAAAAUUAGCGGAUGACCUGUGGCUGGGGGUGAAAGGCCAAUCAAACCGGGAGAUAGCUGGUUCUCCCCGAAAGCUAUUUAGGUAGCGCCUCGUGAAUUCAUCUCCGGGGGUAGAGCACUGUUUCGGCUAGGGGGCCAUCCCGGCUUACCAACCCGAUGCAAACUGCGAAUACCGGAGAAUGUUAUCACGGGAGACACACGGCGGGUGCUAACGUCCGUCGUGAAGAGGGAAACAACCCAGACCGCCAGCUAAGGUCCCAAAGUCAUGGUUAAGUGGGAAACGAUGUGGGAAGGCCCAGACAGCCAGGAUGUUGGCUUAGAAGCAGCCAUCAUUUAAAGAAAGCGUAAUAGCUCACUGGUCGAGUCGGCCUGCGCGGAAGAUGUAACGGGGCUAAACCAUGCACCGAAGCUGCGGCAGCGACGCUGAUGCGUUGUUGGGUAGGGGAGCGUUCUGUAAGCCUGCGAAGGUGGCCUGUGAGGGUUGCUGGAGGUAUCAGAAGUGCGAAUGCUGACAUAAGUAACGAUAAAGCGGGUGAAAAGCCCGCUCGCCGGAAGACCAAGGGUUCCUGUCCAACGUUAAUCGGGGCAGGGUGAGUCGACCCCUAAGGCGAGGCCGAAAGGCGUAGUCGAUGGGAAACGGGUUAAUAUUCCCGUACUUGGUGUUACUGCGAAGGGGGGACGGAGAAGGCUAUGUUGGCCGGGC